GCGAACGGGUGAGUAACACGUGAGUAACCUGCCCCCGACUCUGGGAUAAGCCCGGGAAACUGGGUCUAAUACCGGAUACGACACCUCCCCGCAUGGGGUGGGUGUGGAAAGUUUUUCGGUUGGGGAUGGACUCGCGGCCUAUCAGCUUGUUGGUGGGGUAAUGGCCUACCAAGGCGACGACGGGUAGCCGGCCUGAGAGGGCGACCGGCCACACUGGGACUGAGACACGGCCCAGACUCCUACGGGAGGCAGCAGUGGGGAAUAUUGCGCAAUGGGCGAAAGCCUGACGCAGCGACGCCGCGUGGGGGAUGACGGCCUUCGGGUUGUAAACCUCUUUCAGCAGGGACGAAGUUGACGUGUACCUGCAGAAGAAGCGCCGGCUAACUACGUGCCAGCAGCCGCGGUAAUACGUAGGGCGCAAGCGUUGUCCGGAAUUAUUGGGCGUAAAGAGCUCGUAGGUGGCUUGUCACGUCGGGUGUGAAAGCUUGGGGCUUAACUCCAGGUCUGCAUUCGAUACGGGCUGGCUAGAGGUAGGUAGGGGAGAACGGAAUUCCUGGUGUAGCGGUGAAAUGCGCAGAUAUCAGGAGGAACACCGGUGGCGAAGGCGGUUCUCUGGGCCUUACCUGACGCUGAGGAGCGAAAGCGUGGGGAGCGAACAGGAUUAGAUACCCUGGUAGUCCACGCUGUAAACGUUGGGCGCUAG
rnacentral:rRNA from 1 species